UAGUCGCACGAGUUCAGACUCGUGGCGAAUAGCUCAGUAACACGUGGCCAAACUACCCUUCGGAACACAAUACCCUCGGGAAACUGAGGCUAAUAGUGUAUACCAUACCACCACUGGAAUGAGUGGUAUGCUAAACGCUCCGGCGCCGAAGGAUGUGGCUGCGGCCGAUUAGGUAGACGGUGGGGUAACGGCCCACCGUGCCAAUAAUCGGUAUGGGUCAUGAGAGUGAGAACCCAGAGACGGAAUCUGAGACAAGAUUCCGGGCCCUACGGGGCGCAGCAGGCGCGAAACCUUUACACUGCACGACAGUGCGAUAGGGGGAUCCCAAGUGCACAGGCAUAGCGCCUGUGCUUUUCGGUACCCUAAGGCGGUACCAGAAUAAGGGCUGGGCAAGACCGGUGCCAGCCGCCGCGGUAAUACCGGCAGCCCAAGUGAUGGCCGAUCUUAUUGGGCCUAAAGCGUCCGUAGCUGGCCGCGCAAGUCCAUCGGGAAAUCCACCUGCUCAACAGGUGGGCGCCCGGUAGAAACUGCGUGGCUUGGGACCGGAAGGCGCGACGGGUACGUC
rnacentral:rRNA from 1 species